AAUUGAUUUUAUUUUUAAUGGAAAAUAAAUCUUUUAGGAACUACAUUUUUAUUAUUAGAAAUCUUUUCAAAAAGCAUUAAUAAGAAUGAUCAGUACUUACUUUUUUUUUCACAUCAUGGUUUGCAUAGAAGAUGAGAAAUAAUUAUGUGUAGGAUUAGAGUAAAUGGGCAAGGCAGCAUGGAUGUCCUGAGGACAAAGAGAUCUUGGGCACACCUAAAGCCCAUAAAUAUGGAAGACUCAGAAUCACUAAGUGCUGACAUCUUUGUGCCUUAAAUAUUUAUCUCCUCUUUUUCUAGUCCAUUAACAUCACCCAAGUUAAGGCUUUUAUCAUUUCUCACCUGUAAUGUUGCAAUCAUCUUUUUAAUAAUAUUCCUGCAUUUUAUAUUUCCAUAACUCAUUCUUUUGUACUUUCAUCAAGUAAUCUUUUAUAACAAAUUUGAUUAAGUCACUCUCUGACUCAAAAUGACCCAGUUGUUUCAAUUCACCUGCAGAAUAAAAUCUAGAACUCCUCCUCAGGCACACAGGACUAUUGUGGAUCUGGGGCCUGCUUUUGUCUCCAGCCUCAUGACUAUCACUAUUGCUCUCUGUAGCACUGCAGUACUAAGAGUCCUUUAAGUUCCCUAGAACAUCUCACAAUCUGUUCCCUCUGAUCAAAUUGUAUCUCACUGUAUUUUAUAAAUGCUUAUUCAACUUUCCAGUCUCAAAACGAAUGCUACCUACUCUGCUAUCUUCUUAGCAAACUUAGCCAUCCUCCUUCCCAAGCUCUCACACUGCAGGUUGUACAUACCUUUAAAAAGAACCUAUGGAAUUAUGUUACAAUUGUUUUUCCUUGAGCAAACAUGUCUUCUUAACUUUGCACUCAAAGCCUACCUAAUGCCUAUACAAAGCAG
rnacentral:lncRNA from 10 species